rnacentral:lncRNA from 1 species
GAGGAGCUAUCUAAGAACUCUGUAAAAUUCUAAAAGCAUUAGCUCUGCCAUGAACUUGACUUCAUUCAUUGAAAUGAUGAUUUUGAGGGAGUUAUUUUUGCGAUAUUCUUGUGGUCCUCAAGUUGUCAAACUCGACAGUUUCAUGUUCAGAUUUACCACAAACAACAACUAGGGCCUAUAUAAUUUGGUCAACCAUGAUACACACUGAAAGAAGAAAAAGUUACCUCACACUAUUUUUUAGGACAUAUGAUAGAAAUCUUGCAUGACAAGAUUCUCCAAAUAUUUUUAGUAAAUAAUUAUUCGCCUUUUUCUAUAUAGUGUCUUUAGUUGGUAUGAUGGUUUCUUUUUUUUU